ACAUAGACCCCCAGUCAUCUAAUAAAAUGAGGA
rnacentral:tRNA from 1 species